AAAAUGAAUAAAAUAAAAACAUACAAUGCUACCAACACAACUUGAAAAUAUUUACAGAACCCCUACCAUGUACCAGGGAGAAUGCUGAGCCUGGCCAUGAGACAGUCUAUAGACAGCUUCCACUCCAAAGGAGCUCCAACCAGGUUGGAACUAAGAAGUUUCAGGCCUCGAAGUCUGCCUUGGUUUCCUGGUGACUUGCUCCCAUCCUGAAGCUACUUAAAAAUAGCCAGCCAUCAUUCAACAUACUAGCACCCAAAUCGUACCAGUGUGGAGAAUGCAGGUCUUUCUUGAUGGAAACCUAUAUCUUCGAAUGCUUACAUUACCACAUAAAGAAAACUUUAAACACAAAGACCUAAAUUUGUGCUUUCAGAGUUCAGAUGCUGACUAAGGGCAGAGGAAGCAGCUCGGUGGUGGACCAUGUGUUUAGCAUGUGUGAAGCCCUUGGUUUGAGUCUUAGAAUCACCAGAGGGGUUGGGGUGGAUCCCAGGAGAAAACA